GCAAAAAUAUAAUAUUAAAUUUAUAAUUCAAAAGAAUGAAAUUAACACAUCCAAAAAUACAACUUCAAUACGAAAGACUACAAAGGUAUAAAGCUUACAGUGAAAUCCACAAACAAAAGUCUAAUAAAACUUAGAGAAUUCAAGUUUAAUAAUGUCAAACACGUGAGCAUUUGGGGAUUCCCUAUUAGUGAGAGUAGCAAGGAUCACUAGAUGAGCUAGUGAGAAGAUAGCGCCACCUCGCUCAUCAUCCGAGAGCAACACUCCUCCAUAAACUUAAACUGUUCAUCACUUUGUUGCUUCAAAUAUGAAAACCUCUUGAUCUAGGUGUUGUUGCAUCUCAACCUCUACACGCUCUUGAAUAAUUUUCUCUCAUAUGCAAUGCCUCUUUUUCAAGAAGUUUGAUGUGCUCUUCAACAAUAUGAUCAGACACCAUAGGUAAAUAAUGUAAAGUGGUAGAAUUUUGAUUUGAUUCAAAGUAGAAGCUUGCAAGCCCAACCCAUAGGCAUAUCGCUUUUUCUCUCCACCUACAACAUCAAAAUAAAGAUGAUUUAUAUCAAAUUCUUUGACU
rnacentral:lncRNA from 1 species